rnacentral:rRNA from 1 species
AAUAGAUACCCGGGUAGUCCACGCCGUAAACGAUGAGUGCUAAGUGGUUGGGGGGUUUCCGCCCCUCAGUGCUGCAGCUAACGCAUUAAGCACUCCGCCUGGGGAGUACGGUCGCAAGACUGAAACUCAAAGGAAUUGACGGGGGCCCGCACAAGCGGUGGAGCAUGUGGUUUAAUUCGAAGCAACGCGAAGAACCUUACCAGGUCUUGACAUCCCGGUGACCACUAUGGAGACAUAGUUUCCCCUUCGGGGGCAACGGUGACAGGUGGUGCAUGGUUGUCGUCAGCUCGUGUCGUGAGAUGUUGGGUUAAGUCCCGCAACGAGCGCAACCCUUAUUCUUAGUUGCCAUUCAUUCAGUUGGGCACUCUAAGGAGACUGCCGGUGAUAAACCGGAGGAAGGUGGGGAUGGACGUCAAAUCAUCAUGCCCCUUAUGACCUGGGCUACACACGUGCUACGAUGGACGGUGCAAACGGUUGCCAACCCGCGAGGGGGAGCUAAUCCGAUAAAACCGUUCUCAGUUCGGAUUGUAGGCUGCAACUCGCCUAC